UGAAGAGAAAAUUCCAAACCUGAGAACAACCUAUCAGCCACUGAACAUGCUGGACUAGAUUUUUGCUGCCCUAGGGAACUAAGACAGUGCUGUCAAUCCUGCCCUGAGUUGAAGGCCAGAAUGGUAUUCAAAGUGUUCAACAACCAGUAUAUGAUCCAUCCAAACAGAAGGAAUGGAUGAAUUGCUGAAGCAGAGUUUAAAAGGGUUUUUACUCUUCUGAUGCAGACGUUUCAGUUGCUGGAAAAUGUAGACGCCAAGAGCAUUUAGUCUGCUGAUGCCAUGAGCACGAUAUAUGAUUCCUCAAGAGAGACACAAUGAAAUGAUGCUCAAGGAUUUCACGCUUUGACUGGAGACCAUGCACUAGUUCAUGGAAAAUCUGAAUGAAAGAAUGACAUCUGGCUGUUGUUAGUUUGGAUGUUUCAACCUAAAAACAAGUAGUCUAUGGAUGGAACUGCAUAGCAAAGUAUGGAAGCCCUGAAGUAAACACAGCCAUGUAGGCUAAGAAGUCUGACCAUUUAUGCCAGAAUCCUCCUCUCUGUCCUCUGGAUAUAUGAGCCACACAUUCUGUCUGGCACUUACUCAAGUUUGAGCUGGCACUUUGUUUGUUUGUUUGUAAUUCCAAAAGCAUUCUAAUUGUUGAGUCACUGUGAUUUUUUUUUUAGAAGAUAUGUAUUAGAUUCUUUUCUUUGAAACCUUUUGUUUUGAUGUCUGCUGGUAUAAUUAUUUUGUAAUUGCCUUUUGCCUUUGCCUUCUUCUAUAGUAAUGCAGGAGACACAACUAGGCUUCAAGAAAAUAAGACUUGGCUGAAUGUACUUGGGGCUAGCUUUAUGCUAAAUUUCUAGAAUCUGAUUUUUAAAGCAAACGGGCCCAUGUGAAUGCAUGCUAACACCCUCCCUCCGCACCCCCCCCCCACUCCUUAUCUUUCUACCACAAGUAGUAAGACUUAGGUUGUAUUAUAGAGACAAAGGUUGGAGAGUCAAAAGAAUAUGUUAGCCUAUGGGGCUAUUGUGGAACAAUAAAUAAAGGUGGCAAUUGUAAAGA